rnacentral:rRNA from 1 species
GGGUUGUGAGGUUAAGCGACUAAGCGUACACGGUGGAUGCCCUGGCAGUCAGAGGCGAUGAAGGACGUGCUAAUCUGCGAUAAGCGUCGGUAAGGUGAUAUGAACCGUUAUAACCGGCGAUUUCCGAAUGGGGAAACCCAGUGUGUUUCGACACACUAUCAUUAACUGAAUCCAUAGGUUAAUGAGGCGAACCGGGGGAACUGAAACAUCUAAGUACCCCGAGGAAAAGAAAUCAACCGAGAUUCCCCCAGUAGCGGCGAGCGAACGGGGAGCAGCCCAGAGCCUGAAUCAGUAUGUGUGUUAGUGGAAGCGUCUGGAAAGGCGCGCGAUACAGGGUGACAGCCCCGUACACAAAAAUGCACAUGCUGUGAGCUCGAUGAGUAGGGCGGGACACGUGGUAUCCUGUCUGAAUAUGGGGGGACCAUCCUCCAAGGCUAAAUACUCCUGACUGACCGAUAGUGAACCAGUACCGUGAGGGAAAGGCGAAAAGAACCCCGGCGAGGGGAGUGAAAAAGAACCUGAAACCGUGUACGUACAAGCAGUGGGAGCACGCUUAGGCGUGUGACUGCGUACCUUUUGUAUAAUGGGUCAGCGACUUAUAUUCUGUAGCAAGGUUAACCGAAUAGGGGAGCCGAAGGGAAACCGAGUCUUAACUGGGCGUUAAGUUGCAGGGUAUAGACCCGAAACCCGGUGAUCUAGCCAUGGGCAGGUUGAAGGUUGGGUAACACUAACUGGAGGACCGAACCGACUAAUGUUGAAAAAUUAGCGGAUGACUUGUGGCUGGGGGUGAAAGGCCAAUCAAACCGGGAGAUAGCUGGUUCUCCCCGAAAGCUAUUUAGGUAGCGCCUCGUGAAUUCAUCUCCGGGGGUAGAGCACUGUUUCGGCAAGGGGGUCAUCCCGACUUACCAACCCGAUGCAAACUGCGAAUACCGGAGA